rnacentral:rRNA from 1 species
UACGGAGGGGGCUAGCGUUGUUCGGAAUUACUGGGCGUAAAGCGCACGUAGGUGGCGCAUCAAGUCAGGGGUGAAAGGCCUGGGCUCAACCUGGGAACUGCCUUUGAGACUGAUGUGCUCGAGUCCGGGAGAGGGCAGUGGAAUUCCCAGUGUAGAGGUGAAAUUCGUAGAUAUUGGGAAGAACACCAGUGGCGAAGGCGGCUGCCUGGCCCGGCACUGACACUGAGGUGCGAAAGCGUGGGGAGCAAACAGG